UGGGGAAUAUUGCACAAUGGGGGAAACCCUGAUGCAGCGACGCCGCGUGAGCGAAGAAGUAUCUCGGUAUGUAAAGCUCUAUCAGCAGGGAAGAAAAUGACGGUACCUGACUAAGAAGCUCCGGCUAAAUACGUGCCAGCAGCCGCGGUAAUACGUAUGGAGCAAGCGUUAUCCGGAUUUACUGGGUGUAAAGGGAGCGUAGGCGGUAAGGCAAGUCUGAUGUGAAAACCCAGGGCUCAACCCUGGGACUGCAUUGGAAACUGUUUUUCUAGAGUGUCAGAGAGGCAAGUGGAAUUCCUAGUGUAGCGGUGAAAUGCGUAGAUAUUAGGAGGAACACCAGUGGCGAAGGCGGCCUUCUGGACUGUAACUGACACUGAGGUACGAAAAGCGUGGGGAGCAAAACAGGAUUAGAUACCC
rnacentral:rRNA from 1 species